rnacentral:snRNA from 1 species
GGAUUAAAGGCGUGUGCCACCACGCCUCCUGGCAACACUCCACGUGCAUCCCUCCGGAAGCUGUGGCUCAGGCGAAGAGGACGACCUUCCCGGAUAGAGGAGGACCGGUCUGGUCUUCGGUCAAGGGUAUCCGAGUAGCUGCGCUCCCCUGCUAGAACCUCCAAACAAGCUCUCAAGGAAAACCUCUUUUUGCCCCACUCAGCUACACACCCAUCCCUUUCCCAGUAAUGCACUUAGUAACCUGG